rnacentral:rRNA from 1 species
AAUAGAUACCCGGGUAGUCCUGGCAGUAAACGGUGCACGUUUAGUGUGGGAGGAAUCGACCCCUUCCGUGCUGGAGCUAACGCGUUAAACGUGCCGCCUGGGGAGUACGGUCGCAAGAUUAAAACUCAAAGAAAUUGACGGGGGCCCGCACAAGCGGUGGAGUAUGUGGCUUAAUUCGAUGCAACGCGAAGAACCUUACCUGGCCUUGACAUGCAUUUCUAAGUCGGUGAAAGCCGGCGAGUGUAGCAAUACACAACUUGCACAGGUGCUGCAUGGCUGUCGUCAGCUCGUGUCGCGAGAUGUUGGGUUAAGUCCCGCAACGAGCGCAACCCCUGUGAUUAGUUGCCACCAUCCCGUGAGGGAUGAGCACUCUAAUCAGACUGCCCCGUGAAACGGGGAGGAAGGUGGGGAUGACGUCAAGUCAGGAUGGCCCUUACGGCCAGGGCUGCACACGUACUACAAUGCCCAGUACAGAAAGAACCGAUACCGCGAGGUGGAGGAAAUCCCUAAAACUGGGCCCAAUUCGGAUCGUAGGCUGCAACG